UAAGUAGAAGCCAAAAUGUGAGGCGCUUGUUUGUUAAUCAAGGAAUUGUGGGGUGAAACCACCUGCUUAG
rnacentral:tRNA from 1 species